UAUUUUUGACAGAUUACAUUCACUUCAAAUUUGACACAUUUAAGAUUCUACGAUUGUUUUCCAUUUCCAACUAAAUUUAAUAAUUUUUUUAAUAUUUUCCUUUUAAUUCUGUAAAAUAGAAUAAUGUCUGUUGAAAAAAACAAGCCAAAAGGAGACUUAGGUCUUCUUGAAGAAGAUGAUGAAUUCGAAGAAUUCCCUGCUGAAGAUUUCAAUGCGGAUGAGGAGGAAGAAGCUUUGAAUGUUUGGGAAGACAAUUGGGACGACGACAAUGUGGAAGAUGAUUUCAGCCAACAAUUGAAAAUACAUCAAAUCAACAAAGCAAUGGAGACGUAGAUUUUUCUUAUAAAUUUGUUUAAUAUUUAAAUUAGGAAAUCAGACAAAAUAAUACAUUUUACAAAUUAACAAACAAACAAACAACGUUUUAUCAAUUAAAAAACAAAUCAAAAAUGAA